UACUCGAUGUACAAUGAGUGCAUUUAUGCCUAAAACAUCUAUUAGGUGGAAGGAAAUGGCUAACGGCCACCGUUUGGUUCACCUCCCUACGUUGAAUGUACCACACAAGUGAUCAUUGGUGUCCACUCCUCCAUUAGUGCUGUUGUAAAAUGUUAUUAUUUCAGGUUUCUGCUUGUCAGUUGAGGCUGGGUCGAUAUGAGCUACAUGAUGCAUGGAAGAUAACAACACAACAGCUUUAUUUGGUUUUUAAACAUAAGAAACCUGACCCUCCAACUUCUUCUUCAUCAGAACCUCCUUCAUUCUCUACCAACCAUUGCAUUUCAUCUCAUUC